rnacentral:rRNA from 1 species
AACGAACGCUGGCGGCAUGCCUAACACAUGCGAGUCGAACGAGACCUUCGGGUCUAGUGGCGCACGGGUGCGUAACGCGUGGGAAUCUGCCCUUGGGUUCGGAAUAACAGUUUGAAACGACUGCUAAUACCGGAUGAUGACGUAAGUCCAAAGAUUUAUCGCCCAGGGAUGAGCCCGCGUAGGAUUAGCUAGUUGGUGGGGUAAAGGCCUACCAAGGCGACGAUCCUUAGCUGGUCUGAGAGGAUGAUCAGCCACACUGGGACUGAGACACGGCCCAGACUCCUACGGGAGGCAGCAGUGGGGAAUAUUGGACAAUGGGCGAAAGCCUGAUCCAGCAAUGCCGCGUGAGUGAUGAAGGCCUUAGGGUUGUAAAGCUCUUUUACCCGGGAUGAUAAUGACAGUACCGGGAGAAUAAGCCCCGGCUAACUCCGUG